GGUGUUAUUUGCUAUAAGUUUGAGUUCCAGUUAUUAUAUGUUGUGAAUAGAGUUGUUGUGGUUGCCGCAAAAGUGGUUAAGGACUGAUGUUGCGGUUGCUGCUGAUCACGGAUCGAUAGAAAAGGUUUUCUUUGAUGCGUUUGGUUUAUGGGUUUCGACUUUCUGAGCUGCCAUUCUCUAUUUCCAAACUUUCUCUGCAUCGCUUCUGCAAUAACAAAAACUCUGUUCAGGGGUACAAAGUUGAUGCCAACAUGCUAGACUUUAUAUUGACUGAAAUAUACUAGAAGAGUCAAGAAUUAUAAAUUUGAUAUGAUACAAUUUUAUGUUAGGAAAAAGUGUGUUUAGUUGAAUUUGUAGAACUUAUUUUAUUGUAAAAGAAUCUUAAAGACAUGUAAGAUAUUUUAAUUAUCUAUAUGAUUAUAUAUCAUAUAAAUGUU